AUGCUUCUACCUAUAUAACACCCCUCCACCAAAUACGGGCCCAUUUCAUCAAGCAAAUUUCCCUCAAUGAGUUUCCUAAGUUUCUGUCCAGGGAGGACCACUGUGAAGGAAGUACCAUUUUUGUGGUUCCAAAUGGUAUGAAAUUUGUACAGUGCCUUCAUAUGCCCAAAUGACAAUCCUCUACCAAAUUACAGCUCAAUCCCAUCAUCCAUGUGAGUGCAGCUUCCAUUUAUAUUUUCUGGCCAGAUUGGCACUUUGUACAGCAAAUGCUAGUUAAACCCUUCCAUUUGAGCUGAUAUUUUGCAUAGAUAAUAAUCUUAGUGUGUGAUCACACCAAGCAAAAGCUCAGCACCUAUAACCGAGUGAGCCAUCCCCAGUACACAACAAACACCUUCUUCCAAAAUCAGUGUCGUCUCAAAUCAGUGCAGUGCUUGCUCCCUUAUCUCUAUUAAAUCUCAUGCGUCACUUCUGUGACCUUUACCCUACCUUCCAGAUACGGUUUGGACGACCAGAGCGCGUUGCAACGCCACAUUCACGCGGUGACCACGCGUAGAGCGCGUGUGUUGCAUGCAGACCCGGUGCUCUGGCCACUGGACCCCUCGGGAGGCCCCUCCCCGGCCGCCCAGAUCGCCACGGCGUGCCACGAGCUCGCCCACGUCGCUGAGUUACCUCCAGCUCCCGUCCCCUAGCCCCUGUCCUCGCUUGCGCCCUCGCCGGCGCACGGACACGUCGCCGUGGCUCUUGGAGUUUCGGCCACCACCUAGCUCGCUCCAGAGCCUUCCCCGCGGCUAUUUGAGCGCACCCCCAAUCUCUCCCGCAAGCUACCGCCCUCCCAGACCCCUUUCCAAGCCUCGGAGUCCCUCGUUCCCUUUACAAUGGCCGAUGACCGCCGCUCGGUCCCCUCGGCGAUUGAGAGACCCCCUCCCACACUUCUGCUUCCGAGACCCUACCCUUGAGACCGCGAGCCUCCGCCGUCCUCAGUUCCGGCGGAGGAGUCCUGCUGGCGCUGCCCUCCUCUUGGAAAGCUUUGGCCGCCACAGCCGCAUCGGCGCCAGGGCUAUGGGCCAUCUCGGGAUCACCCUCGGCCACCCCUGGGCGCGGUGACGGGCUACUAGGCCCCCUCGCUCGCCGGCCGGCCCCCUGGAGCGGCGCGGCGACGGCUAGGCCGGUGGCCGGCGCCUCCCCUGCAUCGCUGUCGGAGGUAGAAGAAGAGGACAGGAGGAGAGAAAGAGGCUAGGUGGGCCCCGCGUGUCAUGGACACGGCAGAGGGGUAAUGCCGUGUUUGAUUGCUUGUCGAGGACCCCAAGUUUGCAAGCUAGGAUACGUCCCAGGCAGAGUCCCUGCGGAGUGGAGUUCACUGUCAUCAUCGUUGUUUCACUGAUAGCAUAGAGCUAUCUUAGCAGGCGUAGUGUCGUCGUGCCGAUAUAAUCCUUUGUAACACCCGAACCCUUGUACCCAUAUUUGUAAUAAGAGCUAAUUUGUUCUAUGCCAAGUAGUGUCGUAUUCCA